rnacentral:tRNA from 1 species
AGCGUUAAUGGUCGUGAGGCAAGCAGUGAUGCUGCCAAGAGGUUGAAGUAGAUGCGUGUUGGACGGCGGUUCGAUUCCGCCCAGCUCCACCA